rnacentral:rRNA from 1 species
UGGGUAACCUGCCUCAAAGAGGGGAAUAGCCUCCCGAAAGGGAGAUUAAUACCGCAUAAUAUGUUUAAGUCGCAUGACUUUAACAUCAAAGGAUUUUCUUUUAGAACUUCCACUUUGAGAUGGACCCGCGGCGCAUUAGCUAGUUGGUGAGGUAACGGCUCACCAAGGCAACGAUGCGUAGCCGACCUGAGAGGUGAUCGGCCACAUUGGAACUGAGACACGGUCCAGACUCCUAGG